GCACGGUCGCGCUAUCUACACUUGAAAAUCGAGUGCCCGUCUACAUCGCAUCGGACGACACCAGACGUGACAGUACUUAGCUCUGUUUUCCUGAAAGGCAUUCCUAUUUUACUUGGUGACGACUCCAGUGAAUUCUCCAAGGCAUGCUCUCGGGGGACAAAGCCCUAGAAUGCACUGUUGGUGUGCUGUCAGUGAAGAUAAUCCUCAUGAGGGUCCAAGUUCAGUAGACCUCCAGCCCAUCUCUACUGCCGUCAUUCUGGAGGGAGGUAUCGUCAUGGAUUGUAUUAAAAACUUGCCUCAGGCAGUUUUUCUGUUAUUUGGGCUUACAAAGGCUUACAUAGGUAAUAACAGCUAAAUAGAUAUGAAAUGGGAUAGAAAGAGAGGGAGAGAGAGAGAGAAAGAGAGAGAAGAACAAGGACCCAUUCAAGAAA